rnacentral:rRNA from 1 species
AGUGAACGCUAGCGGUAGGCCUAACACAUGCAAGUCGAACGGAAGCACAGUACGAGCUUGCUCUUACGGGUGGCGGGUGGCGGAAGGGACAGGAAUACAUCCGAACCUACUUUUUCGUGGGGCUUCACGUAGGUAAACUUACUCUAAUACCGCAUCCGACCUUCGGGUGAAAGCAGGGGAUCUUCGGACCUUGCGCGAAUGAAUGAGCCGAUGUCGGAUUAGCUAGUGGGCGGGGUAAAGGCCCAGCAAGGCGCCGAUCCGUAGCUGGUCUGAGUGGAUGAUCAGCCACACUGGAACGGAGACACGGACCAGACGCCUACGGGAGGCAGCAGUGGGGAAUGUUGGACAAUGGGCGCAAGCCUGAUCCAGCCAUACCGCGUGGGUGACGAAGGCCUUCGGGUUGUAAAGCCCUUUUGUUGGGAAAGAAAAGCAGCAGGCUAAGACCCCGCGGUUCUGACGGUACCGAAAGAAGAAGCACCGGCUAACUACGUG